CAUUGAGCCUUGAUGUGUAGGAUAGGUGGGAGGCUUUGAAGCGUGGACGCCAGUCUGCGUGGAGCCGACCUUGAAAUACCACCCUUUAAUGUUUGAUGUUCUAACGUGGACCCGUAAUCCGGGUUGCGGACAGUGUCUGGUGGGUAGUUUGACUGGGGCGGUCUCCUCCUAAAGAGUAACGGAGGAGCACGAAGGUUGGCUAAUCCUGGUCGGACAUCAGGAGGUUAGUGCAAUGGCAUAAGCCAGCUUGACUGCGAGCGUGACGGCGCGAGCAGGUGCGAAAGCAGGUCAUAGUGAUCCGGUGGUUCUGAAUGGAAGGGCCAUCGCUCAACGGAUAAAAGGUACUCCGGGGAUAACAGGCUGAUACCGCCCAAGAGUUCAUAUCGACGGCGGUGUUUGGCACCUCGAUGUCGGCUCAUCACAUCCUGGGGCUGAAGUAGGUCCCAAGGGUAUGGCUGUUCGCCAUUUAAAGUGGUACGCGAGCUGGGUUUAGAACGUCGUGAGACAGUUCGGUCCCUAUCUGCCGUGGGCGCUGGAGAACUGAGGGGGGCUGCUCCUAGUACGAGAGGACCGGAGUGGACGCAUCACUGGUGUUCGGGUUGUCAUGCCAAUGGCACUGCCCGGUAGCUAAAUGCGGAAGAGAUAAGUGCUGAAAGCAUCUAAGCACGAAACUUGCCCCGA
rnacentral:rRNA from 2 species